GGGGAGUCUGGAGGGGGCGGCCCCAAGGGGUUUGUGGGAACUCCGGUGUGCUGUGCGCUCAAAUUUUCGGUGAGCCUGACGCUGCUCUCUCUCACACACAAAAACCAAUCAGUUAAAAGCAGCAUCGAAAGUGGUGGCAGUUGAAUGAUAAAACUUCUCUGGAUAACGAGUUAAACUAGAAUAGAGCGCCAAGCUGUCUUUUUUCCCUUGGAACGGUACUUAGGAAGGUGGAUGGGAACACUGUGUAUUUCUUCCCAAGACAGACACAGCAGGGGCAGACUCCACGGUGAAACCUGCUCACCAUUGGUGCUGCGAGUUCCCUAAGACUGCUGGAACAGAUAAGGAUGAAGUAACCCUCUGAAACUGUAAGCGAGCCCCCAACAAGAUUCUUUGGUCAUCAUGGCGUCUCUUUAUGGCAACUGAACCCUGACUAAGACACCCCGGCAAAGGUGUGGAGGCGGGGGAUCCCAGUGGUUUGCUGGCCAGCCGGUGCUUCGAGCUAAGGGAGCGACACUGUCUCAACAAAAGCAAAGUGCAUCAUGGGUAAAACUGGCUCAGAGGGGCAAGAUCUUGCUGCCUUGCCCGAGAACACCUGGUCAGCAAAGGGGAAACUGACUUCUCAAAGUUGUCCUGAUUAUCGCACUAGAGCUCGGGCAUGACCCUCGCCAGCAAAGGCGCCACGCAUUUUUAACAUAAAACUAAUGUGAUGGUGAGUGACGGAAGUCACUGAAUGUUG